AAAAUAUGAGUUUCAUUUUUUAAGUAAUAUCACCGAAAGAAAAAGAUACACUCCGUACGAAAAAGUAUAGAAAAAGAAAACUCUUCCUUCCUUUUAGGGUUUACUCCUGGAUUCGGAGCUCCCUACUUCUCAGCGGCUACAACUUUGUAUUGCUUUAUCCUCCGCCGAUCACAUGUAAACUCUCCGAUCAAGUAGUCCACCACUUCAAAGCCCAAAA
rnacentral:lncRNA from 1 species